rnacentral:rRNA from 1 species
UACGUAGGCAGCGAGCGUUGUUCGGAGUUACUGGGCGUAAAGAGUGCGUAGGCGGUUUUCUAAGUUUGGUGUGAAAUCUCCCGGCUUAACUGGGAGGGUGCGCCGAAGACUGGAAGGCUUGAGUAUGGGAGAGGUAAGCGGAAUUCCUGGUGUAGCGGUGAAAUGCGCAGAUAUCAGGAGGAACACCAAUGGCGAAGGCAGCACUCUGGGACGUGACUGACGCUGAGACGCGAAAGCGUGGGGAGCAAACAGG